UGUGGUGUGGGGGCAGUCCCUCAGCCUGGAUUGCAAGAGGGCGCAGGCCAGGCUAAGGAACCCCACUGGUGCAUG
rnacentral:pre_miRNA from 1 species